rnacentral:rRNA from 1 species
UAUGUGAUCGUCUCUCGCAUAUCAAUAAGCGGAGGAAAAGAAACUAACAAGGAUUCCCCUAGUAACGGCGAGUGAAGCGGGAAGAGCUCAAAUUUGAAAUCUUAAAGGGUUUCCCUUUACGAAUUGUAGUUUAAAGAAGUGUUUUCUGUUGAGGUUUUGGUAAAAGUUCUUUGGAAUAGGACAUCAUAGAGGGUGAGAAUCCCGUAUUUGACCUUUACUUUCAACUUUGUGAUACACUUUCAAAGAGUCGGAUUGUUUGGGAAUGCAGUCCAAAAUGGGUGGUAAAUUUCAUCUGAAGCUAAAUAUUGGCGAGAGACCGAUAGCGAACAAGUACCGUGCGGGAAAGAUGAAAAGAACUUUGAAAAGAGAGUUAAACAGUACGUGAAAUUGUCAAAAGGGAAGCGUUUGACACCAGUGUUGUUUUUCUGAAAAUCAAUUAAAGAACUGUUUAUGCUAAGUUGUUUAGACUUUAUCAGCUAACUGUUUAGUUUUGAGCUUUUCUUUAAUGCACUUUUCAGUUAACAAGUCAACAUCAAUUUCUUUUGCUGUAAAAAAGCUUGAGGAAGGUGGCUUGAGAUUCGUCUUAAGUGUUUAUAGCCUCUUGCCUAUGCAGUCGGAGAGAUUGAGGUCUGCAGCGUAGAUCCUUCGGGGCUAAAUGCAUUUGUGCUAAGUUAUAGCAUUUUAUAGACAACUUGUUGACUAUGAUUUGUCUUGUAGCUUACUCGCUUAUGUUAUUUUACCUACGCUUAGGAUGUUGAAGUCAUCGUAUCGCGC